rnacentral:rRNA from 1 species
GAUGAACGCUGGCGGCGUGCCUAAUACAUGCAAGUCGAACGAAAAGUCUAUGAGCUUGCUUGCUUGACGUCAGCGGUAAAGGGGUGAGUAACGAGCGGGUAACUAACAUGUGAGACAGCCACCACUAAGAGAGAGAGGACACUAUACAACAGGAGCUAAUGCAGCAUAACGUUAGUUACCGAAUGAUGACUUUGUAAAAAGUUACUGUACUACCUCCUCUGGAUUGGCUCGCGGCGCAUUAGCUAGUUGGUAGGGUAAAGGCUUACCAAGGCAAUGAUGCGUAGCCGAACUGAGAGGUUGAUCGGCCACAUUGGAACUGAGACACGGUCCAAACUCCUACGGGAGGCAGCAGUAGGGAAUCUUCCGCAAUGGGCGAAAGCCUGACGGAGCAACGCCGCGUGAGUGAUGAAGGUCUUCGGAUCGUAAAACCCUGUUAUUAGGGAAGAACGAACGUGUAAGUAACUGUACACGUCUUGACGGUACCUAAUCAGAAAGCCACGGCUAACUACGUG